GUGAGGAAUAUUGGACAAUGGAUGGAAAUCUGAUCCAGCCAUGCCGCGUGCAGGAAGACGGCCCUAUGGGUUGUAAACUGCUUUUAUACGGGAGCAAUAAGGUCUAUGCAUAGAUUGAUGAGAGUACCGUAUGAAUAAGCAUCGGCUAACUCCGUGCCAGCAGCCGCGGUAAUACGGAGGAUGCGAGCGUUAUCCGGAUUUAUUGGGUUUAAAGGGUGCGUAGGCGGCUUUGUAAGUCAGCGGUGAAAUUUUGCAGCUUAACUGUAAAAGCGCCGUUGAUACUGUGAAGCUAGGAUUUGGUUGCUGUAGGCGGAAUGUGUGGUGUAGCGGUGAAAUGCAUAGAGAUCACACAGAAUAUCGAUUGCGAAGGCAGCUCACAAAGCCAAUAUUGACGCUGAGGCACGAAAGUGUGGGGAUCAAACAGGAUUAGAUACCCGAGUAGUCC
rnacentral:rRNA from 1 species